rnacentral:misc_RNA from 1 species
GCAAACUUGGUCAUUUAGAGGAAGUAAAAGUCGUAACAAGGUAACCGUAGGUGAACCUGCGGUUGGAUCAUUACCAAUCCAAAAAGUCGUUCUCCAACCGUCCUCCAUCUUGUGUGGGGGGUAGGUGGGAACACUAACACCCUUGUGAACUCUUGAAUGUAUUUUCGGUGUCCUGGAGAAGGAAGAGAUUUCCUCUUCUUUUUCUAGCCUCUCACGCUUUUUUGCGUGGGGAGCCGGAGACGAAUGGCGCAUCCUUCACGGGUCGUGUCAGAUGUCACCGCGGGCGCCGAGCAUCAAACAAACUCCAUGUUUUAUUCAACUUCUGAAACCAAACAAAAGAACCAAUGAGAAACAACUUUAGACAACGGAUCUCUUGGCUCUCGCAUCGAUGAAGAACGCAGC